CAGGAUACAGCCGACUUCUUUUUCUAACCUAUGGGACCUGCAGGUCACUGCGGAGCAUGCGCAGGAGUCACUCCUGGAGUCCAAACUUCACUUCCCAAAAGGCCGCGUUGCCGCAGGGGGCAGAACUUGGCAUCCCACGUGGUUGCCUUCCUGUGCUUUCCCGGAACCGGAAGUUGGGCUCUAGCGCUCUCCCCCUGCCUGGAAUCCUGCCAUCGCCACAGAGAGUCGCUCCUGAAGGCGCCGCUUGUGGUGCGGAAGCCUGUAAGGGCCGCUCUAGCAUCGUGGGAACCGCCCCGGUCCGUGCUCCCUUCGCUCUUCUCGCCUAGACCUUGGAGCCGCCUCCCGAAGACCUUCCCCCCGCACCUCCCCGCUUUGGUUCCUCCCUGCGGGCCCCCCUUCCCGGGCUUCCCGCUCCCCCCCCAGAGCCGCUCCCUCCGAAGCCCGAGUGACCCCUCUCCUCCCAGGCCCCUCCGGGCUCGGUGUCGGGGCAGUCACAGGGAUGAGAACCUCCUUCCUGCCCCUUUAUCGCUCCCUCUCCAGGUGAGGCUCCGAGGAGGAGAAAUGGCCGCCAGGCUCCGUCCCCCCUGACUCUUCCUCGUUCACGCUUAGCACCGAGCCCGGCCCUGGCGGACUGACCCCUCUUUGUAUAAUCCCGCAGGGCCUCGGGGUCAGAAAAGCGGCUGGAUCCGGGAGGAUCCUGGCGGCCCCAGUGACAAAGGCCGCUUUUCUUCCUGCGCUGGAAUCACGUCAUGUUGUUAAACCGCAUUUUGGGGCGGGAUCCUUAAGGAAUUGUGGCUGUCACCUCCAAGGAGACCCCGUGCCCUUCCCAGCAGGAUCUGCGCAGGGCCGUGAUGCGGGACAACCGGAGGACCCUGGCCUGCCCGGGAUUUGUGAUUUCCAAACCAGAUACACUAUACCAAUUGGAACAAGAAAUAAAACUUUGGAUGCCAAAAAGAGAUGCACCUGUCUAUGGAAAUGAGUGAAAACCAGAUGGGGAAAAGGUUGGGACAGUACGUCUGAAAUCAAACGGACAAUUCCAAAGCUGGACAUUUCUUUGAAGGAAUUAUGCCAGGAAAGUCUUAUAAGGGAUGGUACCUUUGACUUAAGUCAAAUCUGGAAUUGUGGCACCCAGCUAGCAAGGAAAUAAUAAUGUAAUGAAUGUGGCAAGACUUUCAGCCAGGAGACAUAUUUUACUCAGUACAGGAAAAUUCAUAUGGGAGAAAAACUUUAUGAAUGUAAUGACUGCGGGAAGGCCUUCUGCUGGAAAAUAGACCUCAUUUGACAUCAGAUUAUCCAUACUGUGAAAGAUCUUAAGAAUGUAAUGAAUAUGGGAAGACUUUCUGCCUGACUACAGCUCUUUUCUAAGGGAUGUGUCGAGUGUUAGGCUUGACUACCUAUCAAUUACAACCAAUAAAUGACAUUUUAAGGAAAGACAGUGCUUUAAACUCACCACAUCAGCUUACAAAAGAAGCUCACGAGACUUUCAGAGAACUUGAACUGACUUUAUCCAAUGUGGUUGAAUGUCAUUCAAAAACCCUUGGAAAUAUCAGUUUUUACUACACAAGAGGCACCCACAGCAGUCCUUCAUCAAGAUGUGUGAUAAAGCGGGUGAACCUCCCAACACAACCAGAACAAACUCUUAGUCUUUACCCAGUGCCUAUGGCUAGAAUUUUAUUAAAAGCCAUUGAGCGAGGAGUACAAUUAUCUGGGAUAAGAUAUACACCUUUUAUACUAAUGCACAAAUUAAUGUAUGCUGUGAAACCAUCCCAGAGUGGCAAAUUUUAUUAGCUAUGGCUCCAAAUUUUACACACGGAUCUCCAUUAAAGAUAACCAGACUAUUACAUAAUUGACGGUGGAUUCUUGAAGAAAAGGUUUCUAAAGUUCCUCUUAAAGGACCAACUCUCUUUAGAGAUGCAUCCAAACAUAAUAUUUGUGCUGUAUACGCUUGUGACUUAACUGUAAAGAGAGUACUCAGAAUUCCUUUUCAGUCCACUCAGCAGAAUGAAUUGUAUGCGAUCAUUCUAGCUCUUACUUAUUAUCCAGGAGAUAUAAAUAUAGUAUCUGAUUUAGCCUGUUCAGUAGGUGUGGUACAAAAAAUUGCCAUAGCCCAAAUAAAAUUUGUAGCCUCUAA